GCGGCAAACGGGUGAGUAAUAUCUGGGAAUCUACCCAAAAGAGGGGGAUAACUACUAGAAAUGGUAGCUAAUACCGCAUAAAGUUGAAAAACCAAAGUGGGGGACCUUUAACAGGCCUCAUGCUUUUGGAUGAGCCCAGAAGAGAUUAGCUUGUUGGUAAGGUAAAAGCUUACCAAGGCAACGAUCUCUAGCUGGUCUGAGAGGAUAGCCAGCCACACUGGAACUGAGACACGGUCCAGACUCCUACGGGAGGCAGCAGUGGGGAAUAUUGCACAAUGGGCGAAAGCCUGAUGCAGCUAUGCCGCGUGUAUGAAGAAGGCCUUAGGGUUGUAAAGUACUUUCAGCGGGGAGGAAAAAAAUAAAAUUAAUAAUUUUAU
rnacentral:rRNA from 1 species